AGAACGAACGCUGGCGGCAGGCUUAACACAUGCAAGUCGAACGCUCCGCAAGGGGAGUGGCAGACGGGUGAGUAACGCGUGGGAACAUACCCCUCGGUUCGGAAUAACUCAGGGAAACUUGAGCUAAUACCGAAUACGGUCGAGAGGCGAAAGAUUUAUCGCCGAGGGAUUGGCCCGCGUCCGAUUAGCUAGUUGGUGAGGUAAUGGCUCACCAAGGCGACGAUCGGUAGCUGGUCUGAGAGGAUGAUCAGCCACAUUGGGACUGAGACACGGCCCAAACUCCUACGGGAGGCAGCAGUGGGGAAUAUUGGACAAUGGGCGCAAGCCUGAUCCAGCCAUGCCGCGUGAGUGAUGAAGGCCCUAGGGUUGUAAAGCUCUUUUGUGCGGGAAGAUAAUGACGGUACCGCAAGAAUAAGCCCCGGCUAACUUCGUGCCAGCAGCCGC
rnacentral:rRNA from 1 species